rnacentral:rRNA from 1 species
ACACGCAUGACACACUGCAUAUCAAUAAGCGGAGGAAAAGAAACUAACUAGGAUUCCCUCAGUAACGGCGAGUGAAGCGGGAAGAGCUCAAAUUUGAAAUCUUAAAGGGUUUCCCUUGACGAAUUGUAGUUUAAAGAAGUGUUUUCUGUUGGAGUUUUGGUAAAAGUUCUUUGGAAUAGGACAUCAUAGAGGGUGAGAAUCCCGUAUUUGACCGUUACUUUCCAGCUGUGUGAUACACUUUCAAAGAGUCGGAUUGUUUGGGAAUGCAGUCCAAAAUGGGUGGUAAAUUUCAUCUAAAGCUAAAUAUUGGCGAGAGACCGAUAGCGAACAAGUACCGUGAGGGAAAGAUGAAAAGAACUUUGAAAAGAGAGUUAAACAGUACGUGAAAUUGUCAAAAGGGAAGCGUUUGACACCAGUGUUGUUUUCUCGAAAAUCAAUUAAAAAUGGCGGGAUGUUGUGUUGUAUUGACUUUAUCAGCUUUCUGCACUCUUUUUCCUGUCUUUUUUAAUGCACUUUUCGUUUAACAAGUCAACAUCAAUUUCUUUUGCUGUAAAAGGGUCAUUGGAAGGUGGCUUUCUUUUCGGAGAAAGUGUUUAUAGCCUUUGGCCUCUGCAGUCGGAGAGAUUGAGGUCUGCAGCGUAGAUCCUUCGGGGUUAGAUACAUUUGUGCUAAGUUAUAGCCUUUCAUAGACAACUUGUUGACUAUGAUCAGUCAUGUAGCUUACUCGCUUAUGUCAUUUUACCUACGCUUAGGAUGUUGACUGAUAUGUAGUCGUA